AUUGAACGCUGGCGGCAGGCUUAACACAUGCAAGUCGAGCGGGGAAGGGUGGCUUGCUACCUGACCUAGCGGCGGACGGGUGAGUAAUGCUUAGGAAUCUGCCUAUUAGUGGGGGACAACAUUCCGAAAGGAAUGCUAAUACCGCAUACGCCCUACGGGGGAAAGCAGGGGAUCUUCGGACCUUGCGCUAAUAGAUGAGCCUAAGUCAGAUUAGCUAGUUGGUGGGGUAAAGGCCUACCAAGGCGACGAUCUGUAGCGGGUCUGAGAGGAUGAUCCGCCACACUGGGACUGAGACACGGCCCAGACUCCUACGGGAGGCAGCAGUGGGGAAUAUUGGACAAUGGGCGAAAGCCUGAUCCAGCCAUGCCGCGUGUGUGAAGAAGGCCUUUUGGUUGUAAAGCACUUUAAGCGAGGAGGAGGCUGCCGAGAUUAAUACUCUUGGAUAGUGGACGUUACUCGCAGAAUAAGCACCGGCUAACUCUGUGCCAGCAGCCGCGGUAAUACAGAGGGUGCGAGCGUUAAUCGGAUUUACUGGGCGUAAAGCGUGCGUAGGCGGCUUUUUAAGUCGGAUGUGAAAUCCCUGAGCUUAACUUAGGAAUUGCAUUCGAUACUGGGAAGCUAGAG
rnacentral:rRNA from 1 species